GGCUCGUUGGUCUAGGGGUAUGAUUCUCGCUUCGGGAGCGAGAGGUCCUGGGUUUAAAUCCCGGAUGAGCCC
rnacentral:tRNA from 2 species